rnacentral:rRNA from 1 species
GGCAGCAGUGGGGAAUAUUGCGCAAUGGGCGAAAGCCUGACGCAGCGACGCCUCGUGAGGGAUGAAGGUCUUCGGAUCGUAAACCUCUGUCGAGAGGGAAGAAACCCUUGGGUUCGAACAGGACUCUUGGCUGACGGUACCUCAGAAGGAAGCACCGGCUAACUCCGUGCCAGCAGCCGCGGUAAUACGGAGGGUGCAAGCGUUAAUCGGAAUCACUGGGCGUAAAGCGCACGUAGGCGGUUUCAUCAGUCAGACGUGAAAUCCCACGGCUUAACCGUGGAACUGCGUUUGAUACUGUGAGACUUGAGUGUCGGAGAGGGUGGCGGAAUUCCCGGUGUAGGAGUGAAAUCCGUAGAUAUCCGGAGGAACACCAGUGGCGAAGGCGGCCACCUGGACAGAC